rnacentral:rRNA from 1 species
GAACGCUGGCGGCGUGCCUAAUACAUGCAAGUCGAACGGUCUUUCUAUGGAAGCUUGCUUCCACUGAGAAGAUAGUGGCGAACGGGUGAGUAACACGUGGGUAACCUGCCCAUAAGAGGGGGAUAACAUCCGGAAACGGGUGCUAAUACCGCAUAGUUUUCUUGAUCGCAUGAUUGAGAAAGGAAAGACGGCCUUUGUGCUGUCGCUUAUGGAUGGACCCGCGGCGUAUUAGUUAGUUGGUGAGGUAACGGCUCACCAAGACGAUGAUACGUAGCCGACCUGAGAGGGUGAUCGGCCACAUUGGGACUGAGACACGGCCCAAACUCCUACGGGAGGCAGCAGUAGGGAAUCUUCCGCAAUGGACGAAAGUCUGACGGAGCAACGCCGCGUGAGUGAAGAAAGGUUUUCGGAUCGUAAAACUCUGUUGUCAGAGAAGAACAAGUUGGAGAGUAACUGCUCCAGCCUUGACGGUAUCUGACCAGAAAGCCACGGCUAACUACGUGCCAGCCGCAGC